AUACGUAGGGUGCGAGCGUUAAUCGGAAUUACUGGGCGUAAAGCGUGCGCAGGCGGUUUGGCAAGGCAGAUGUGAAAUCCCCGAGCUCAACUUGGGAACUGCGUUUGAAACUGCCAGACUAGAAUAUGUCAGAGGGGGGUAGAAUUCCACGUGUAGCAGUGAAAUGCGUAGAGAUGUGGAGGAAUACCAAUGGCGAAGGCAGCCCCCUGGGAUAAUAUUGACGCUCAUGCACGAAAGCGUGGGGAGCAAACAGGAUUAGAUACCCUGGUAGUCCACGCCCUAAACGAUGUCUACUAGUUGUUGGUGGAGUAAAAUCCAUGAGUAACGCAGCUAACGCGUGAAGUAGACCGCCUGGGGAGUACGGUCGCAAGAUUAAAACUCAAAGGAAUUGACGGGG
rnacentral:rRNA from 1 species